UACAGAGGUGGCAAGCGUUGUUCGGAAUUACUGGGCGUAAAGGGCGCGUAGGCGGUCUUGUAAGUCUUGUGUGAAAUCCCUCGGCUUAACUGAGGAACUGCACGGGAUACUGCGAGACUUGAGUUCGGGAGAGGGAAGCGGAAUUCCGGGUGUAGCGGUGAAAUGCGUAGAUAUCCGGAGGAACACCAGUGGCGAAGGCGGCUUCCUGGCCUGUUCUUGACGCUGAGGCGCGAAAGCUAGGGGAGCAAACGGG
rnacentral:rRNA from 1 species